CUCUUGUCAAAUUAAAUUAUGGUUAGUUAUGUAUUUUCCAUACCUGCAAUAUUUGACAGGUUAUUUUAUUUAUGUUUCCCUUCAAAUAUACAAAACACUACAAAAUUAUACACCACAAUAGCACAAUUUAAAAAAUAUCAAUUACUUAUUGAUCAAAGGAUGAGUAUAAAUUUUACUUUUCAGUUUAUAAUAUUACUAGCAGCUUACAAGAUAUUGAUCGCUCUGCCACAGCGUAAAUUUGAUAUGAAAAAUAAUGAAAAAGUGUCUCAAUAUUAGAAGAAAAUGAUUCUUCAUGUGAUAUAGAUACCUUGAAAAGAGCAAUCCAACAAUCUCUGGAGCAGCCCUUCCUCGAAAACAAGUUCUUCGCAAAAGGCAAAUCAAACUAUGACGAUCCUGAAAAUGAAUUCUGGGGACCAGCUAAGGAUUUCAGUUUCUUUUUCCACGACAAUGAUGACGAUAACUUAUUCAGUGUACUUGACAGGCGUAAGAAGAGAGACACCCGACAAUUUAAGGAAAAUAUGUCCAAUAGAAC